rnacentral:rRNA from 1 species
GCCAGACUCCUACGGGAGGCAGCAGUGAGGAAUAUUGGUCAAUGGGCGGAAGCCUGAACCAGCCAAGUCGCGUGAGGGAAUAAGGCCCUACGGGUCGUAAACCUCUUUUGCCGGGGAGCAAAGGCGGGGACGUGUCCCCGGAUGAGUGUACCUGAAGAAAAAGCAUCGGCUAACUCCGUGCCAGCAGCCGCGGUAAUACGGAGGAUGCGAGCGUUAUCCGGAUUUAUUGGGUUUAAAGGGUGCGCAGGCGGUCUGUUAAGUCAGCGGUCAAAGCCCGGGGCUCAACCCCGUCGUGCCGUUGAAACUGGCGUUCUUGAGUGAGCGAGAAGUAUGCGGAAUGCGUGGUGUAGCGGUGAAAUGCAUAGAUAUCACGCAGAACUCCGAUUGCGAAGGCAGCAUACCGGCGCUCAACUGACGCUCAUGCACGAAAGCGUGGGUAUCGAACAGGAUUAGAUACCCGAGUA